GUCAGGAUUGCUCAGUUGGUAGAGCAGAGGACUGAAAUUUCUCAUGUCGCUAGUUCAAAUCUGGUUCCUAAUG
rnacentral:tRNA from 1 species